UUUAACGGCCGCGGUAUUUUGACCGUGCGAAGGUAGCGUAAUCACUUGUCUUUUAAAUGAAGACCCGUAUGAAUGGCAUAACGAGGGCUGUACUGUCUCCUUUCUCCAGUCAAUGAAAUUGAUCUACUCGUGCAGAAGCGGGUAUUAACACAUAAGACGAGAAGACCCUAUGGAGCUUUAGACACCAAAACAGACCACGUUAAAAUCCCUUGGACCAACAGGACUAAACCAAGUGGGCGCCUGUUUUUUUGUCUUUGGUUGGGGCGACCGCGGAGAAACACAAAUCCCCCGAGUGGAACGGGAUCAACUCCCUGAGACAAGCNCCACAGGCCUAGCACCCAGAAAAUCUGACCAAAAAGAUCCGGCAAUGCCGAUCAACGGACCCAGUUACCCUAGGGAUAACAGCGCAAUCCCCUUCUAGAGCCCACAUCAACAAGGGGGUUUACGACCUCGAUG
rnacentral:rRNA from 1 species